UAAUAAACGGGAUGGAAGCGGCAUCCUUUGGCUGUCGGCCUGGGGUAAUGAUGGCGGGCCAAAGAUAUAGCGUACAGCCCGACUAACA
rnacentral:sRNA from 2 species